rnacentral:rRNA from 1 species
AGAAUUGAUCUGGUCAGAACGAACGCUGGCGGCAGGCCUAACACAUGCAAGUCGAGCGCGCCCUUCGGGGUGAGCGGCGGACGGGUUAGUAACGCGUGGGAACGUACCCUUUGGUAGGGAAUAGCCACUGGAAACGGUGAGUAAUACCCUAUGAGCCCUUCGGGGGAAAGAUUUAUCGCCAAAGGAUCGGCCCGCGUUAGAUUAGGUAGUUGGUGGGGUAAUGGCCUACCAAGCCUACGAUCUAUAGCUGGUUUUAGAGGAUGAUCAGCAACACUGGGACUGAGACACGGCCCAGACUCCUACGGGAGGCAGCAGUGGGGAAUCUUGGACAAUGGGGGCAACCCUGAUCCCAGCCAUGCCGCGUGAGUGAAGAAGGCCUUAGGGUCGUAAAGCUCUUUCGCCUGUGAAGAUAAUGACGGUAGCAGGUAAAGAAACCCCGGCUAACUCCGUGCCAGCAGCCGC